GAUGAACGCUGGCGGCGUGCCUAAUACAUGCAAGUCGAGCGAACGGACGAGAAGCUUGCUUCUCUGAUGUUAGCGGCGGACGGGUGAGUAAAACGUGGAUAACCUACCUAUAAGACUGGGAUAACUUCGGGAAACCGGAGCUAAUACCGGAUAAUAUUUUGAACCGCAUGGUUCAAAAGUGAAAGACGGUCUUGCUGUCACUUAUAGAUGGAUCCGCGCUGCAUUAGCUAGUUGGUAAGGUAACGGCUUACCAAGGCAACGAUGCAUAGCCGACCUGAGAGGGUGAUCGGCCACACUGGAACUGAGACACGGUCCAGACUCCUACGGGAGGCAGCAGUAGGGAAUCUUCGGCAAUGGGCGAAAGCCUGACGGAGCAACGCCGCGUGAGUGAUGAAGGUCUUCGGAUCGUAAAACUCUGUUAUUAGGGAAGAACAUAUGUGUAAGUAACUGUGCACAUCUUGACGGUACCUAAUCAGAAAGCCACGGCUAACUACGUG
rnacentral:rRNA from 1 species